rnacentral:lncRNA from 1 species
CUUUUUUUAAAAAAGCAUUUCUUUCAAAAAUUCCCAAAAAAAAAGGGGGUUAGUUUAGUUACUCCAUUUUCGAUGCCCGAACUACGCGGGUUUGAUUCUCACCGGAUGUGAGAUACGUAGGCAACCCUCAUCGGGUCCAACCCCACCUUUUGCUAAAAUAGCCAAAAUAAAUAGAUAAAUAAAAACGUGUCAAAUUUUAAAUUUUGCCAUAAAUAAGUUGGGUGGUGUCCAACCUGCCCUUUUGCUAAAAAUAGCCAAAAAUAUAUGUCAAAUUUUAAAUCUAUCAUAAAUAAGUCAGGUGAUGUUGUUUUGUCAUAAAUAGCCAAAUGUUCCCGAAAGGGACGCCGGAAGGCUGACUUUGCAUAAACAACCACCUUUGGGUCAUUUUUUAAGGUUUGGUCCAGUUGACUCACACAGCCUUAAAAUCUUCGUCACCGAGGCGUUGAAAGGUCGUGUUGGCAAUAUUGAGUUUUCUAAUUUGAAAAACGAUAAAAAGAGUCAUAAAUAAGUCAGGUGAUGUUGUUUUGUCAUAAAUAGCCGAAUGUUCCCGAAAGGGACGCCGGAAGGCUGACUUUGCAUAAACAGCCACCUUUGUGUCAUUUUUUAAGGUUUGGUCCAGUUGACCCACACAGCCUUAAAAUCUUCGUCACUGAGGCGUUGAAAGGCCGUGUUGGCAAUAUUGAGUUUUCUAAUUUGAAAAAAACGAUAAAAAGAGUCAUAAAUAAGUCAGGUGAUGCUGUUUUGUCAUAAAUAGCCGAAUGUUCCCGAAAGGAACGCCGGAAGGCUGACUUUGCAUAAACAGCCACCUUUAGGUCAUUUU